ACGCUCGACACCUACGGGAGACAGCAGUGGGGAAUAUUGCACAAUGGGGGAAACCCUGAUGCAGCGACGCCGCGUGAGCGAAGAAGUAUCUCGGUAUGUAAAGCUCUAUCAGCAGGGAAGAAGAUGACGGUACCUGACUAAGAAGCACCGGCUAAAUACGUGCCAACAGCCGCGGUAAUCUGAGCGGGCUGGCAAGGC
rnacentral:rRNA from 1 species